UACAGAGGGUGCGAGCGUUAAUCGGAAUUACUGGGCGUAAAGCGCGCGUAGGCGGCUUUGCAAGUCGGGUGUGAAAUCCCCAGGCUUAACCUGGGAACUGCAUUCGAGACUGCAUUGCUAGAGUAUGGGAGAGGGAAGUGGAAUUUCCGGUGUAGCGGUGAAAUGCGUAGAUAUCGGAAGGAAUAUCAGUGGCGAAAGCGACUUCCUGGACCAAUACUGACGCUCAUGUGCGAAAGCGUGGGGAGCAAACAGG
rnacentral:rRNA from 1 species